UACAUGGGGGGGCAAGCGUUGUUCGGAAUUCCUGGGCGUAAAGGGCUCGUCGUCGGCCACCUAAGUCAGACGUGAAAUCCCUCGGCUUAACCGGGGAACUGCGUCUGAGACUGGAUGGCUUGAAUCCGGGAGAGGGAUGUGGAAUUCCAGGUGUAGCGGUGAAAUGCGUAGAUAUCUGGAGGAACACCGGUGGCGAAGGCGGCGUUCUGGACUGCAACUGACACUGAGGCGCGAAAGCUAGGGGAGCGAACGGG
rnacentral:rRNA from 1 species